GAUAUUUUCUUGAAAUUAUAAACAAGACUUAUGAUAGUACUAUAAAAUCGAAAAUAAUGAACUUUUACAGUCGAAAAUUUGUCUGCUUUUUUCCUAAAUUGUUUUUUUAAAUUUUUCCAGAUUAUUAUGAAAACUACACCACAAAUUACAAAAUGAAUCAAAAAUCAACCAACUAGAUUCAAUAUACUAUAAAAAGCUCUUUGUCGUUUUAAUUGGUUUGUUGGAAAUAUUUAUUAUAAAAAAAUUAUUAACAGACAGAACAAAUAAAAAAUUAAAAAACACACAUACUAAAAAUCACUGCAUUUCUCAGAAUCUAAAAAGCUAGUAGAUGUAUUGCAGGUGUUUUGUACAUUAUCGCUACGGUGAAGCGUAAAAGAUACUUCUUAUGAAAAUUAAAUCACUGUUAUUGGUGAGAAAUUUGGAAGGUUGGAUAAACAAGAGAACUUAAUUUAAUUUAAUUUAUUGAGUUAAGUCCGGUUUUUUUUUUUUUUUUUGAUAAACUUAAAAUUAAAAUCGUAAUAAUUUAUAAUUGUGAAAUAAAUCAAAUACUAUUAUUCAUGAUUUUCGUAUUAGAUUGCUAAACAUUUUUAAAGAGUCUUAAGAGUUUUAGCCACAUGAAUCGGAAAAAUAUUACGUGAAAUACUGUGAUUUUUAAAAUUUUCAUUAAAAUUUGAAAUUUAAACACUGAUUGUUCAUUUGAUUUUCCGAGCAGUUUUUAAAUAAAUUGGGAAAAACAAACUGGGUUUUAUUUUGCUUUUAUUAGGUAGGUUAUAUAAAUAAACUGUAUAGAUAAAAUUGUUUGACUAACUAGAAAUGAUUGCCAAUUUAACAAGAAGUUCAUUACAAGUUAUAAUUAGUUAUGAAAAAAAAAAGUUGAGGUUAAUGUAGUAAUAUUUCUUUAUUGGCGUUUAAAGAUCAAAUUAUGACGAAAAUCGUUAAAAUUACGGCAUUUCAAAAUAAAUAUUUAUGACCAAACACAGCUCGGAAUCAUAUUUCACUAGCAAUGGUUAAUCGUUUCUUACAGAUGUAAUUUCAAUAACCUUAUGUACCUUACAAACUUUUCACUUAUAAGAGUAGCACACCCGUCCUCAGUAUCAGUUGUUUUUUUUUUUUGUAGAUAAAAUUGUUUGGCCGAUCAGAAAUAUUCAAAAAUUGUACACGAUGUUCAUGAUAAAUUAUACACAGUGGUAAACAACAAAAUUAUACUUAAUAUGUAGUUGUUUUUUAAGCAUUUUAAAUUCAAUCACAGAGAUGGAAAUCGUAUAAAAUAUCGCAUUGCAAAACUUCGCUCAGAAUAGUGUUUCGUCAACAAUGAUUGUAAAUUAAAUAAUUUAAUGUACUUAUCCUAUAAUCUUAGCUUCCCAAUUACAACAGUGGCACACUCAUCAAUAGUAUCACCUCUUUUUUAAAACUUUGAUACGACAAAUUAUGCCGAAAAUUAAUUUAUACAAAUUGAUUUUAAACGAUUUUACCUCAUAUAAUUACA